rnacentral:rRNA from 1 species
CCAAACCCAUGUGAACGUUACCAAACUGUUGCCUCGGCGGGGUCACGCCCCGGGUGCGUAAAAGCCCCGGAACCAGGCGCCCGCCGGAGGAACCAACCAAACUCUUUCUGUAGUCCCCUCGCGGACGUAUUUCUUACAGCUCUGAGCAAAAAUUCAAAAUGAAUCAAAACUUUCAACAACGGAUCUCUUGGUUCUGGCAUCGAUGAAGAACGCAGCGAAAUGCGAUAAGUAAUGUGAAUUGCAGAAUUCAGUGAAUCAUCGAAUCUUUGAACGCACAUUGCGCCCGCCAGUAUUCUGGCGGGCAUGCCUGUCCGAGCGUCAUUUCAACCCUCGAACCCCUCCGGGGGAUCGGCGUUGGGGAUCGGGACCCCUCACCGGGUGCCGGCCCUGAAAUACAGUGGCGGUCUCGCCGCAGCCUCUCCUGCGCAGUAGUUUGCACAACUCGCACCGGGAGCGCGGCGCGUCCACGUCCGUAAAACACCCAACUUCUGAAAUGUUGACCUCGGAUCAGGUAGGAAUACCCGCUGAACUUAAGCAUAUCAAAAGGCGGAGGAAUUCUUUCCCGUUUUCUCUCCAGCCAUGUUUCGUUACAAUUUGUUAUCUCGCGGGGUCAGCAGGGAGCGUUCCCCUGAACAGUCCCGGAAGAACCACCAACCUUUUUUAGGUCCUUCAAAGGAAUUGUUAACUUUAACAGAAUAAAAAGGUGAUUCAACUUUCACCGGGAAUUGCGGGUUAAUCGCCCCAAUACAAAAAAACACAAAAUGCCAUAAGAAAACGCGGAAAUCGCCAAAAAUAAGGGAAAACCCUAAUCUAGGAAAACAAUGGGCGGCAGACUUUUUCUGACGUAACCGCCAUACAACGCUCUUUUCCCCCAAACCACCUGGGAAUACCGGGGGCGGGAAGGGGCCCCCCCCGGGGACGGCCUUAAA